AGCAAGGGCACUCUGUGUUACAAGAAGAUUUUAGUAUUGUAAAACAAUUUGUAACCUUGCAAGAAAAAAUAUCACACAUGUUGGAUUUGUCUCCUUUUUCUCAAGGAAUCGAAUUGAAUAUACCUAGUGAAACAUUUU